UCCUAGAAAAGAUGCAAAUAAGCUAACAAAUAAAGCAACACUGGUUCAGAAAAAAGUAUUGGAUCAUCUUCUUUUGUUGGGUGUUGAAAGCCAGUGGGCACCAGUAGCUGUCCGUUGCGCGGCAUUACAAUGCAUCGGUGAUCUGAUUGUUGGACAACCCAAGAAUCUUGAUAUCCUUGCAACCAAAGUUCUUGGAGAGGAGCCACAAACGGAACCUGCUUUGAACUCUAUUCUUCGAAUCCUUUUGCGGACAUCUA